ACGGCCAUACCAUGCUGAAUAUACCGGUUCUCGUUAGAUCACCGAAGUCAAGCAUCAUUGGGCGCGAGCACCUGGGAACACCACGUGCCGU